rnacentral:rRNA from 1 species
UGCCAGCCGCCGCGGUAAUACGAAGGGUGCUAGCGUUGUUCGGAAUUACUGGGCGUAAAGAGCAUGUAGGCGGAUGAAUUAGUCAGAGGUGAAAGCCCCGAGCUCAACUUGGGAACUGCCAUUGAUACUGCUUGUCUUGAGUAUAGUUGAGGUGGGCGGAAUGUGUCAUGUAGAGGUGAAAUUCAUAGAUAUGACACAGAACACCGAUUGCGAAGGCAGCUCGCUAAACUAUUACUGACGCUCAGGCACGAAAGCGUGGGGAGCAAACAGGAUUAGAUA